rnacentral:sRNA from 2 species
GGCUUUAAGUAUUAUUUUCCUUAUCACCAUCGCUUCCUUGAAAGCUUUUGGAGAAUAUAGUGCCCACGCUUCUAA